UGAAAAACUUAUUUUAUCACAUUGCGAAAUGCCGUCGGGUAGGUAGCUGAUGUAGCGCAUGUUUUGAGCUCUUGAACUGUUUAAAUCUUCUAUGAGGAAAAUAAAAAAAGGAUUACGAUCCUUUUGUUUACAAAUGUAUUUCUGGGAAAAAUAAGAUAAUAGGAAACGGAUAAAGAUCCCUUUUUUACAAAUGUAUUUCUGGGAAAAUAAGAAUUCAUAUUUUUGGACUACUAAAUAUAUAAUAACAUAUUUUGAUUUAUGGUUGUAUAAGUUUAUUAAAUUUAAGACUUUGCUCAUUCCCAACCCAAUUUGCAUAAUUAUUCUGUAAAUUAACAAUAUUAAACUAUAUAUUCAUUUUUUUAAAAAAAUGGUAUUUUGAAAAUGUACUUUAUUUUAUUCGCUCUUCUAAAUUUCAUAUUACCGAAAUGAAAAUGCCGUCGGCAUAUGUGUAAUGUCUUAGAAAUUUUCAUAGAAAUGAAAACUGCGCUGUCAAACUGCUGAAGUGACAGCUUAUUGCUUACAAACUAAUUAGUUUACCAUAUAUUGUAAGCAAUAAGCAAUAUGGAGUCUCCACUGGCAAUAGGCACGGCAAUACAGUUAGUAAGGCAUAGAUUUUAUUCUGUCGAGAUGCCCCGUUAGAACAGAUCCUUAAGAGGCAUUGGUUGAGUCUAGUGGUAAGGAGUUGUUAACAGGUUCAACUGAUUUUGAACCAAUGCUCGACGAUAUGUCAAGUAUUUCUAGGCAGAGCCGGUCUGCACUAAGCCGUAGCAUGUGCAUCCCAAAUGCAGUGUAUCCACAAGAACCGAACGCAGCAAAUCCUGUUCCAAAUCGUCGUUAUCGUAAAAGCGCUAGAGAACGAUAUUUUGAUAAAAAAAAAUCGGACUAAAAAGAAAAAGUGCUGAAGAACAGGCGAAUUUUUACGCGAACAUAGAAAAACAAAUGCAGGAUUUGGCCGAAAAACGAGAUAUUCAGAAAUCGAACAAAAAAAACUGAAAAUAGAAGAGGAAAAAUUGAAAAUUUUACAGCAGUAUUUUAUGAAUACAAAAUAGAAAAGCUACUUGGUUUCAUAACGAAUAUAUGUUUUUUUAUUUAAUGGAAAUAUAUAAUCAAGCUUAUCAUAAAAUGAACAUUUUUUACAUACAAAUCUUGAACAAAUGCAUACGUAUAUGUACGUGUUUAUAUAAAACAAAUAUGUCGUAAAAUUAUAAAUAAUUUCAUUAUUUGAGAUUGAAAAUGGAAAAUGUUGCUCUAAAAGUGCAUUUUAAAAUUAAAAAAUUAAAAUUUAUUCAUUUCUUCGUGUUAAAAUUGUAAGCAACUGAUUCCGGCGAUCCCCACAUGCUUCUCUCGCCAGUUCAUUAGCAGGUUCUGGCUCCGGUUCGGCACUUUCAAUUUGAUGGUCAAUAAAUGUAUCGUCGUUUGUGCAUAAUGCAUGCACUUGCAACUAUAUAUAAAUAACUUUAUUAUUUGAGAUUGAAAAUGGAAAAUGUUGCUCUAAAAGUGCAUUUUAAAAUUAAAAAAAUUAAGAAAUAAAUUUAAGAAGCCUUCGGAAACGUCCUUUCAGUGCUCCAAAUGCAUUUUCAACAACUAUUCUUGCUGAAGAAUGCGUUUUGUUAAAGCUGAUUUGAUUAGGCGUUAACGAACCAUAAUCUUUAAACACCGGUAUGAGGUAAUUUCUGCAAGGGUAUGCCGAGUCCCCGAGAAUAAAAGUAGAAUUUGGCAAUAACUUUCCAUAUUACUUUCCGCUUUUAUAUAAAAUGCUGACCUUUUUAGCACUCUAGAGUCAUGAUAUGAUCCGGGUACACCACUAUCAAUAUCAAUAAAUUUUUUAUCAGCAUCGACAAUGGCUUGUAGAACAACACUAUAUAUUCAAUCAAUAGCACCAAUAACACCUGAUAUUUGUUUCCUUUGUAAAAACUUGCGAGUUGUUUCUUCCAACGCAUAUCCAGUUGGCCACUUAACAAACUCAUGGCCUAUUGAGAUAACCCACGCGACAACCCGAAGAACAAUCGCCCAUGCUGUGGACUUCGUUACACCAAACAAUACGGCUAGUUGUCUGUAGGUCAGUGGUCGGCAUGAGAGGAUCUGUCACUGUGUUAGUGAGCACGAAAAUAAAGUAGCCCAGUGAGAAAUUGGAAUUAAAAUUAAGCAAUUUUAAUUAUUAAUUAAUAGUAUUAUGAAAAUUAACAAAUUGUCUUUUGAGGAUAUAUUCCCUAUUAUCUGUAAAAGACUUGGAACAUAAAAGGCAUUGCAUGGCAUCAAAGGCAUUUAGAAUCAUAAAAUAUUUCUCGCAGGGCAUAUUUCGUUUUGCGCUAUGGUCUUGCGUGAUGUUAAUUCGUUGAUGGCUCGACAACGACUGAACGAUAGAGCGUAAGCGUACGUGUGAAGUUAGUUUGCAAAAUUUUGCUAUGAAAUGCCGACCACUGCUGUA